AUUGAACGCUGGCGGCAUGCCUUACACAUGCAAGUCGAACGGCAGCACGGGUGCUUGCACCUGGUGGCGAGUGGCGAACGGGUGAGUAAUACAUCGGAACGUGCCCAGUCGUGGGGGAUAACGUAGCGAAAGCUACGCUAAUACCGCAUACGAUCUAAGGAUGAAAGCGGGGGAUCGCAAGACCUCGCGCGAUUGGAGCGGCCGAUGGCAGAUUAGGUAGUUGGUGGGGUAAAGGCUCACCAAGCCGACGAUCUGUAGCUGGUCUGAGAGGACGACCAGCCACACUGGGACUGAGACACGGCCCAGACUCCUACGGGAGGCAGCAGUGGGGAAUUUUGGACAAUGGGCGCAAGCCUGAUCCAGCCAUUCCGCGUGCAGGAUGAAGGCCCUCGGGUUGUAAACUGCUUUUGUACGGAACGAAAAGGCUCUGGUUAAUACCUGGGGCUCAUGACGGUACCGUAAGAAUAAGCACCGGCUAACUACGUGCCAGCCGCCGCCGUAA
rnacentral:rRNA from 1 species